rnacentral:rRNA from 1 species
AGUGAACGCUGGCGGCAGGCCUAACACAUGCAAGUCGAACGGCAGCACAGUGGUAGCAAUACCAUGGGUGGCGAGUGGCGGACGGGUGAGGAAUACGUCGGAAUCUGCCUAUUUGUGGGGGAUAACGUAGGGAAACUUACGCUAAUACCGCAUACGACCUACGGGUGAAAGCGGAGGACCUUCGGCUUCGCGCAGAUAGAUGAGCCGACGUCGGAUUAGCUAGUUGGCGGGGAAAGGCCCACCAAGGCGACGAUCCGUAGCUGGUCUGAGAGGAUGAUCAGCCACACUGGAACUGAGACACGGUCCAGACUCCUACGGGAGGCAGCAGUGGGGAAUAUUGGACAAUGGGCGCAAGCCUGAUCCAGCCAUGCCGCGUGUGUGAAGAAGGCCUCGGUUGUAAG